CGGACGGGUGAGUAAUGUAUGGGGAUCUGCCUGAUGGCGGGGGAUAACUACUGGAAACGGUAGCUAAUACCGCAUAACGUCGCAAGACCAAAGAGGGGGACCUUAGGGCCUCUUGCCAUCGGAUGUGCCCAGAUGGGAUUAGCUUGUAGGUAAGGUAACGGCUUACCUAGGCGACGAUCCCUAGCUGGUCUGAGAGGAUGAUCAGCCACACUGGGACUGAGACACGGCCCAG
rnacentral:rRNA from 1 species